rnacentral:rRNA from 1 species
UACGGAGGGUGCGAGCGUUGUCCGGAUUUAUUGGGCGUAAAGAGCUCGUAGGCGGCUUGUCGCGUCGUCCGUGAAAACCUGGGGCUCAACCCCAGGCUUGCGGUCGAUACGGGCAGGCUCGAGUUCGGUAGGGGAGACUGGAAUUCCUGGUGUAGCGGUGAAAUGCGCAGAUAUCAGGAGGAACACCGGUGGCGAAGGCGGAUCUCUGGGCCGAUACUGACGCUGAGGAGCGAAAGCGUGGGGAGCGAACAGG